AGGAGGGCAGGAGGCGGCCGCGGCCGGAGCUCGGUGGCACAGGCGCCUGUCUAGCGAGCACACGGCCCUGAGUUCGAUUCCCGGUGCCAAAAAAAAAAGACGGGGAAAGAGGACAGCUGAGAAAGCGCGCCGUGAACAGCAGCGGCCUGGCUUGCGGAUUUCCGCGAUUGUUACGGGCUCGGGGCAGCGUCAACAGCCCAGAAUUGGCCUCCAGGAGCCCCGUGGAAGUGCAUUUGGGGCACAAGAGAGCUCCCUGGAGCGUAGGGCGAGAUGGCGGACGCUGGUACACUGCGACUGCCAGGGAGAGAGCUCCAGGCAGCGGAGGAGGUGAAGAAGAGCCCUGAUGGGCGGACAGGGACCCCCUUUGCAAGAUGGCGGAGGACCGAGUGGUAAACGCACGGGGGUAACAGAGGGGUGGACGGACCCUGAACAUCAGGGAGAGUGCAGCGGAGCCGUCACCGAAGAGGCUGAGAACUGGCCCUGAUGAAGAAAUGCAAGCACAGAAAACCAAAACAACUGCUCUAGAUCAAACUUGCCCCAGUGAGAGAAUCAAGAUUUGAAGACAAGCCAGAAAACACCCAGGCGCAGCAGCUCUGCACCAUCCGAAGCAUCUGAGAGGGGCCAGGGGGUGGCUGCUAGUCUGGGGCUUGAGAAAGCGGAAGCUGCAACCCCGGGCCCCAGAAGACACUAACUUCAGGGUCCAAGAGUGCUCGCCACCUCUGCUUUGUGAAUCCACUUGGAAAGAACCUACUCUGUGGACAGAGCAGCUGCAUUGGGUGUGGUGGCAAACACCUACAAUCCCAACACUCUGGGAAGCUGAGGCAGAAGAAUAAAGUGUGAGCUGAGCCUGGGUAGCUCAGUGACUUAGUGAGAUCCUAUCUCAAAAAAAAAAAAAAGUGUAGGGAACAUAUUUCAGUGCAAAGGGCCUGUGUUAAAGCCCCAGUACUGCAAAAACAGACACCCACAACUGCAUUACAGAGCAAUGGACACCCUAUGUACAUCCAUCCAUGUUUAAAUGGAGAAAUCUACCAGGUGUGGUGGUGCUUACCUGUGAUCCCAGCAUGCAGGAGGCUGAGGUAGGAGCAUCGCCACCAGUCUGAGGCCAGCCUGGACUGCAUAAGCGACUAUCUCAAAACAACUCCUCCACAAACCCACAAAAGG